rnacentral:snoRNA from 1 species
AAAGCAGAGAUUGUGUGUAUCGGCUUAGUGCCAUCUAAUGCGCUUUGUACGAAAGAUUUCUCUGCGAAAUCAAUUUGGGGCAGAUGGGCAGUUGUGAUUCAUUGUUAAUUGAAUAGCUCAACAAUCAUCUUCCCCACAAUU